GAUGAACGCUGGCGGCGUGCCUAAUACAUGCAAGUCGAGCGAACAGACGAGGAGCUUGCUCCUCUGACGUUAGCGGCGGACGGGUGAGUAACACGUGGAUAACCUACCUAUAAGACUGGGAUAACUUCGUGAAACCGGAGCUAAUACCGGAUAAUAUAUUGAACCGCAUGGUUCAAUAGUGAAAGACGGUUUUGCUGUCACUUAUAGAUGGAUCCGCGCCGCAUUAGCUAGUUGGUAAGGUAACGGCUUACCAAGGCAACGAUGCGUAGCCGACCUGAUAGGGUGAUCGGCCACACGGGAAUGGAGACACGGUCCAGAAUCCUACGGGAGGCAGCAGUAGGGAAUCUGCCGCAAUGGGCGAAAGCCUGACGGAGCAACGCCGAGGGAGUGAUGAAGGUCUUCGGAUCGUAAAACUCUGUUAUUAGGGAAGAACAAAUGUGUAAGUAACUAUGCAGGUCUUGACGGUACCUAAUCAGAAAGCCACGGCUAACUACGU
rnacentral:rRNA from 1 species